ensembl:misc_RNA Metazoa_SRP Metazoan signal recognition particle RNA
GCCGGGCGCGGUGGCGGGCGCCUGUAGUCCUAGCUACUCAGGAGGCUGAGGCAGGAGAAUGGCGUGAACCCAGGAGGCGGAGCUUGCAGUGAGCCGAGAUCGCGCCACUGCACUCCAGCCUGGGUAACAGCGUGAGACUCCGUCUCAA